UACGGGGGGUGCAAGCGUUGUUCGGAAUUACUGGGCGUAAAGGGCUCGUAGGUGGCCAACUAAGUCAGACGUGAAAUCCCUCGGCUUAACCGGGGAACUGCGUCUGAUACUGGACGGCUUGAGUUUGGGAGAGGGACGCGGAAUUCCAGGUGUAGCGGUGAAAUGCGUAGAUAUCUGGAGGAACACCGGUGGCGAAGGCGGCGUCCUGGACCAACACUGACACUGAGGAGCGAAAGCCAGGGGAGCAAACGGG
rnacentral:rRNA from 1 species